rnacentral:rRNA from 1 species
UGGGGAAUAUUGGACAAUGGGCGCAAGCCUGAUCCAGCCAUGCCGCGUGAGUGAUGAAGGCCCUAGGGUUGUAAAGCUCUUUCACCGGUGAAGAUAAUGACGGUAACCGGAGAAGAAGCCCCGGCCAACUUCGUGCCAGCAGCCGCGGUAAUACGAAGGGGGCUAGCGUUGUUCGGAUUUACUGGGCGUAAAGCGCACGUAGGCGGACUAUUAAGUCAGGGGUGAAAUCCCGGGGCUCAACCCCGGAACUGCCUUUGAUACUGGUAGUCUUGAGUUCGAGGGGGGUGAGUGGAAUUCCGAGUGUAGAGGUGAAAUUCGGAGAUAUUCGAAGGAACACCAGUGGCGAAGGCGGCUCACUGGCUCGAUACUGACGCUGAGGUGCGAAAGCGUGGGGAGCAAACAGG